AGAUCAGUGAUUAAACAUUUUUUACCAAUACCAAUUGUUCCGACUGAAUAGUGGUUAUUAACUGCAUGUCGACAACACCUUUAUCGUUAAGUUUCAGCCUUGUAUGAGAUUC
rnacentral:snoRNA from 1 species